GGUGACUGUUGGCGCUAGAAUCGGGUCUGCAACUUACUUUUAAUCAGUAGGUCUCGGGUUCGAACCCCGACGCUCUCACCA
rnacentral:tRNA from 1 species